rnacentral:lncRNA from 1 species
AGAACUCACUUCACCAUUCUACACCGAGAACUCCACGAGAAGAACAGGGACUUCCACUCGUUUCCUGCUAGCAUUCAAGGUAACCUUUGCUUGAAUCUCCUCCAUCUUUCCUUCAUGUUUCAUCCUCUGUUCAUUAAAGAACAACAUAAAAUAUAUUUCAGUAAAUUCCAUCUAUCCCUUCCACCAAAGACAAGAGAAGCAGGACUUGAAAACUAACCCAAGAGAACACCAGCAAGUACAGAUCGUUUUAAAGGUUUCAUCUUGAACUCCCAUACCUCUUUCCUUUUUGCAUAUGAUUAAAACACCUCUCAUUUCUUAUUUCAGCAAACCACACGAGUUUAUACACGUUAAGCAGGAGAUUCAUGACAUAUCAUAUGGGCAUAACCAUCUCAUCAUUUCUGUAUAUAUAUAUGUAUAUUUUUUUUUAAUGGGAGCUAUACUAUACUCUGUUAUACAAGUUUGAAUGAUUUAAAGAAAGAAUUUUUAUGAGUUUACUUUCAACUUUGGGCUGUUGUAUCGAGUCGGGUAAGAGAGAGAGUUAC